CCUACGGGUGGCAGCAGUGAGGAAUAUUGGUCAAUGGGCGUAAGCCUGAACCAGCCAAGUCGCGUGAGGGAUGAAGGUUCUAUGGAUCGUAAACCUCUUUUAUAAGGGAAUAAAGUGCGGGAAGUGUCCCGUUUUGUAUGUACCUUAUGAAUAAGGAUCGGCUAACUCAGUGCCAGCAGCCGCGGUAAUACGGAGGAUCCGAGGGUUAGCCGGAUUUAUUGGGGUUAAAGGGUGCGUAGGCGGCCUUUUAAGUUAGCGGUGAAAGUCUGUGGCUUAACCAUAGAAUUGCCGUUGAAACUGGGGGGCUUGAGUAUGUUUGAGGCAGGCGGAAUGCGUGGUGUAGCGGUGAAAUGCUUAGAGA
rnacentral:rRNA from 1 species